GACGAACGCUGGCGGCGUGCUUAACACAUGCAAGUCGAACGGAAGGACCCUGCUUUUGUGGGGUGCUCGAGUGGCGAACGGGUGAGUAACACGUGAGUAACCUGCCCUUGACUUUGGGAUAACUUCAGGAAACUGGGGCUAAUACCGGAUAGGAGCUCCUGCUGCAUGGUGGGGAUUGGAAAGUUUCGGCGGUUGGGGAUGGACUCGCGGCUUAUCAGCUUGUUGGUGGGGUAGUGGCUUACCAAGGCUUUGACGGGUAGCCGGCCUGAGAGGGUGACCGGCCACAUUGGGACUGAGAUACGGCCCAGACUCCUACGGGAGGCAGCAGUGGGGAAUAUUGCACAAUGGGCGGAAGCCUGAUGCAGCAACGCCGCGUGCGGGAUGACGGCCUUCGGGUUGUAAACCGCUUUCGCCUGUGACGAAGCGUGAGUGACGGUAAUGGGUAAAGAAGCACCGGCUAACUACGUG
rnacentral:rRNA from 1 species